CUUAUGGCCAAAAGGUGGAACAAAAUCCUCAGUUCUGAAGCAUCCAGGAGGGUGAAAAUGCUUCUCUGACCUGUCACUAUACAAAUUAUUCUCCAGAGUCCAUCCAAUGGUACCGACAAGAUCCAGGAGGAGGCCUCUUCUUAUUGAUACUAGUGCAUGAAAAUGAGGGAGAAAAACAGAAAGGAAGACUGAGAGUCACCUUUGUUACCACCACCAAACAGAGUGCCUUGCAUAUCACAGCCUCCCAGCCUGCAGACUCAGCCACCUACCUCUGUGCCCUGGCUCACAGCAGCAUCCUGGCAACAGCUUCCUGUACAUAAACUUGUAAAUUCUUCCAGUCACAGAGCUGAUGUCUUUGGGGACUGUGCUGUCCCCAAAGACUUGCCACAGCUCCUGCAAAAUAAAAGGGAAGGGAGCUCACUUUAAAGUGACAAAGUGUGGGGGAAUGAUUCUGGAUUACCCAGGAGCAGGGGAUCCUUCAUCAGUCUCAGAACUAUGAUGCUGACUGCAUGACUGUGAAAAACUUGUGAGGUUUGCAGGUCUCAAUUUCCUCAUAUGAAAACAAUGGACUUAAAUAUGUGAUUCUCAAGUAGCUCUGAGGUUCAGAAUCUAAUAUUUCUAAAACAAGCAACACCCUGAAGAAUGCCAGAGAGUGGGGAUGAAGGAUAUGUUUUUUAACCCAGUGAGAUAUUUUUGUUGGUGAGUUAUAAUUAUACACCAUAGUGGGAUUCAUUAUGUCAUAUUCAGGUAUGCAUAUAACGUAAUUUGAUCAAACUCUUUUCCCAGUACCUCCCCUUUCCCUCUCCUUCUCCUUCCCCUAAUCCACUAGUUCAACUCUACUGAUUUGCUUUCUAUUAUUAUUAUUUUAAUUAGUGCAUUAUUUAUUCACUAUUCCUUGUGGUCAAUGUGUCAGAUUCAUUGUGGUAUAGUCAUCCAUAGACAGCAUAAUUUGUUAGAUUUUAUUCCCUAGUAUUUCCCCUGACCUCACCUCUUAUCCCCUUCAUCUUUUCCUUUGGUAUUCUUUCUGUUUUCAUGAGAAUCCCCUUUUAAAUUCUGUUUCCCCCCUUUCUCUCUAGCUUCACAUUUGAGAGAAAACUUUGACUCUUGUUUUUCUGAAUCUGGUUUAUUUCACUUAGCAUAACGUUCUCCAGGUCCAUUUAUCCACAAAAGACAGAAUUUCAUUAUUUGUUAUGGCUGAGUAAAACUUCAUUGUGUAUAUAUACCACAGUUUCUUUAUCCAAUCAUCCAUUGACAGGCACCUAAGUUGAUUCAUAACUUAGCUAUUGUGAAUUGUGUUGCUAUAAACAUUGGUAUGCAUAAAUUAUUAUAGUGUAUUGCUUUAAGAUCUUCUGGAUAAAUACCAAGUAGUGAGAGAGGUGGCUCAUGUGGUGGUUGCAUUCAUAAACUUUGGGGGAAUGUCCACAAUUAUUUCUAAAUGGUUGUACUAAUUUGCAUUUUUAUUAACAGUGUAUAAGUGUACGGUUCCCCCCACACUCUUGUGAGCAAUUAAUGUUCUUUGUAUUCUUGAUGGUUACCAUUCUAACUGGAGUUAGAUGAAAUCUGUGUUGUUUUGAUUUGUAUUUCCCUGAUUGCUAGGGAUAUUGUCAGUCAUUUUUAUUUCUUCUUUU
rnacentral:lncRNA from 1 species